UACGUAGGGUGCGAGCGUUGUCCGGAAUUAUUGGGCGUAAAGGGCUCGUAGGCGGCUUGUCGCGUCGGAUGUGAAAGCCCGGGGCUUAACCCCGGGUCUGCAUUCGAUACGGGCAGGCUAGAGUUCGGUAGGGGAGAUCGGAAUUCCUGGUGUAGCGGUGAAAUGCGCAGAUAUCAGGAGGAACACCGGUGGCGAAGGCGGAUCUCUGGGCCGAUACUGACGCUGAGGAGCGAAAGCGUGGGGAGCGAACAGG
rnacentral:rRNA from 1 species